ensembl:lncRNA
ACUGAAUGGAGAAUAUCUCUUGGACCUUGGCUGUCUCCUGGAAAGUAGUGCUAUGCAGUCAGAGAGUCCCUUCACUGUUGGAUUGCGUCUACCCUGAUCAAACUGAACACUAACAGUUGCUAUCUGCCAACAACUACAAAGCGUGUUUUGUGGGAUUUACUGUGGCCUUUCUCAGAGGAAGAAGGCCAUGGACAUUAAAGACCUCAAGUCCUGUGGCUAAAUCAGUGUUGUUCAUCUCCUGAAUUCCUUUAAUUGCUUGCUUCUACUGGAGUCAAAUAGGCUACUAUGCCUUUGGCUCUGGUGAACUGUGGAUCUUUACUCAUUCUUGGUUGAAAUAAGAUGAAAUUGGGCAACAUGCACUAACAGCAGUGCUCAGUGGUUUGCACUCAUUGCAAAAUGUGCCAAAACAUGUUAUUGUUCUAGAAAUGGAGAUCUAAGACCUACUCCUUUUGCCUGGUUUCUGUUGCACAACCAAGAGCCUGCUCAGUGAUUUCUUCUGACCUCAGUGGGGGAUCUUAGGGCUGGAGUGGGCUGAGAGACAGAGUCUUCAUAAUCACUCUUGAGCAUUGCAGGAUGAAAAGAUUAAAGAGAUUAAAAAUAGUUUACGUGGUAGAAAAAUGCCUUACUCAUCAAGAUUGAAAAGCUUCCCUGGUCAGGUUGGUUCUUGUGAAGUUGUUUUACAAGUGAAACUGAUGUGAAAGGUCCUAUAGACCUUAGGGCUUUGCAGUUCAGGCUCUUCAUGUGGUGUGGGGCAUCUAAUUCCUUGCCAGACUUGCUUUGAAGAGAUUUUGAAUUAUCUUGACUGUGGGUUGGGGUAUGUUUAGGGCUCCCUGUCUUGCUUCAUAUGGCUUUAUUUAUGUAAAAAGAAAAUCCUGUUGCUGUUGAAGGCAAUGUCCAUAGUGGUGUAGACAUCUCUUACCUAUUUCUUAAUCUGAGGUGGCCAACUCAGUUUAUAUUACCUGUGUAGCUACUAAGUUUCAGCUCAGGAUGGUAAUAUGUGUUCCAGACAAUAAAGAAACCAGAGGCUAAAACUGCACUGCUGUUUUGCAGUCCUAAGUGAUGAAUGUACUUACAAUGCAAUAAGGGAUUAAAGAAUUGAUAGUCU